rnacentral:rRNA from 1 species
GCUCUUGGGUUGUAAACCCCUUUUCUCAGGGAAGAACCAAAUGACGGUACCUGAGGAAUCAGCCUCGGCUAACUCCGUGCCAGCAGCCGCGGUAAUACGGAGGAGGCAAGCGUUAUCCGGAAUGAUUGGGCGUAAAGCGUUCGUAGGUGGCUAUUCAAGUCUGCUGUCAAAGACAGAAGCUCAACUUCUGAAAGGCAGUGGAAACUGAGUAGCUGGAGUGCGGUAGGGGCAGAGGGAAUUCCCGGUGUAGCGGUGAAAUGCGUAGAGAUCGGGAAGAACACCGGUGGCGAAAGCGCUCUGCUGGGCCGCAACUGACACUGAGGGACGAAAGCUAGGGGAGCGAAUGGGAUUAG